CCUACGGGAGGCAGCAGUGAGGAAUAUUGGUCAAUGGGCGAGAGCCUGAACCAGCCAAGUCGCGUGAAGGAUGACGGCCCUACGGGUUGUAAACUUCUUUUGUCCGGGAGCAAUUGGGUCCACGCGUGGGCUUAGCGAGAGUACCUGAAGAAAAAGCAUUGGCUAACUCCGUGCCAGCAGCCGCGGUAAUACGGAGGAUGCGAGCGUUAUCCGGAUUUAUUGGGUUAAAGGGGUGCGUAGGCGGAAUAUCAAGUCAGCGGGAAAAAUUCGGGGCUCCACCCCGUCGUGCCGUUGAAACUGAUGUUCUUGAGUGGGCGAGAAGUAUGCGGAAUGCGUGGUGUAGCGGUGAAAUGCAUAGAUAUCACGCAGAACUCCGAUUGCGAAGGCAGCAUACCGGCGCCCAACUGACGCUGAAGCACGAAAGCGUGGGUAUCGAACAGGAUUAGAUACCCGAGUAGUC
rnacentral:rRNA from 1 species